CAAAAGCAGAGCCUCCUUGAACGGGAUCAGCGCCUUUAUAAAAGCGACCUCAGAGGGUCCCUCAGCCCUUGUACCGCGCGAGGGCACAGCGACAAGACCCUCAGAAAGAAGCCGGCCCUCACCAGGCACCGGAUCUGCAGCAUCUCGGUGGCCUUGACGGUGGACUUCCCAGCCUCCAGAGCUAAUUCUUUGUGUUUGAUAUGGUGAAGUUUUCAACAGCUUGAAGUCACAUUUCGAGAGCAGGAAUUAUCCCUGGAGAGCAGAGAGCACAUUGGGUCAUAAUGGCCAUAGAGGGAUAUUGGACUCCUUCCAGCAUUUCAGAUCACAAGGUGGGUUUUUUUUUUCAGUGUUUUUUUAAUACCCCAAACUUUUCUUAUAAAUGUUUGCACUUAGAUGAGGUUGGAGCUUAACUCAGAUCUGCAUUAGCUAUGUGGUAGACUUAGGAUCAGGGGAUCAGACUCCUCUUAGUAUUUUUAAAGCAUGCUUCCAAAAGGGGAAAGAUCAUUUAUAUUUAAAAUAAAGCAAUGUUCUUAGAAGCUGCCCUCCGCUCCUUCACCUUCUCCUUUGAAAGCAUAUGGAACAAGAGACUGCCCAGAUUCAGAGUAAAUACUUCAAGGUGAUUUAGGAUCCCUUAAAUACAGCCUAAUCCCUUUUCACUCAACAAAAAUGCAGAGCUGCUCUGAAGACCCCAGUAGGGCCCAGAGGUGCCCCAGUCAACAAUACCAUGAGAGUUCUCAUGGCAACUUGUAAACUUACCUAUGUUGUACAAGGAGGAGAGAUGCUUUAGUGUCCAGUUGGGAAGGAAAAAGAACCCUGGAUACAGAGUCAUAAGGGGAAAAGAACAGCUCUUUCCAGCAAAGACAAGUUCAUGCACAUCUCUCUUUUUUUUUUUUUUUUUCUGCUCUGUCUCCAUUUAGGUGGGCUUUCUCCAAAGAAUCAUAACAAAAUAAGCUAUG